AGCAGUAGCCGCGGGAACACAGAGGGUGCGAGCGUUAAUCGGAUUUACUGGGCGUAAAGCGUGCGUAGGCGGCUUUUUAAGUCGGAUGUGAAAUCCCUGAGCUUAACUUAGGAAUUGCAUUCGAUACUGGGAAGCUAGAGUAUGGGAGAGGAUGGUAGAAUUCCAGGUGUAGCGGUGAAAUGCGUAGAGAUCUGGAGGAAUACCGAUGGCGAAGGCAGCCAUCUGGCCUAAUACUGACGCUGAGGUACGAAAGCAUGGGGAGCAAACAGGAUUAGAUACCCCUGUAGUCCCUGUCUCUUAUAA
rnacentral:rRNA from 1 species